CCGGUUGAUCCUGCCGGAGGCUACCGCUAUUGGAGUUCGAUUAAGCCAUGCGAGUCGCGAGUCUUAGGGACUCGGCGUACCGCUCAGUAACACGUGGGUAACCUGCCCUAUGCUGGGGGAUAACCUCGGGAAACUGAGAAUAAUACCCCAUAGUUCACCACGCCUGGAACGGUGGGUGGACCAAAGCUCCGGCGGCAUAGGAUGGGCCUGCGGCGUAUCAGGUUGUAGGGGGUGUAAUGUACCCUCUAGCCCUCUACGCGUACGGGUGUUGAGAGACAUCGCCCGGAGAUGGAUUCUGAGACACGAAUCCAGACCCUACGGGGUGCAGCAGGCGCGAAAACUUGGCAAUGCGAGAAAUCGUGACCAGGGAACUCCAAGUGCAUCGGGUAAGACCGAUGCUUUUCUUGACUCUUCAAAGGUCUUGGAAUAAGGGGUGGGUAAGGACGGUGCCAGCCGCCGCGGUAAUACCGGCGCCCCAAGUGGUAGUCGCGUUUAUUGGGCCUAAAACGUCCGUAGCCGGUCUGGUACAUUCGUGGGUAAAUCAACCAGCUCAACUGGUUGAAUUCUGCGAGCACGGCCAGACUUGGGACCGGGAGAGGUGUGGGGUACUCUCAGGGUAGGGGUAAAAUCCUGUCAUCCUGAGAGGACCACCUGUUGCGAAGGCGCCACACUAGAACGGAUCCGACGGUCAGGGACGAAGCCUAGGGGCACGAACCGGAUUAGAUACCCGGGUAGUCCUAGGUGUAAACGCUGUGGACUUGAUGUUGGGGGCGCUCCGAGCGCACUCAGUGUCGAAGCGAAGGUGAUAAGUCCACUGCCUGGGGAGUACGGUCGCAAGGCUGAAACUUAAAGGAAUUGGCGGGGGAGCACCGCAACCUGAGGAUUGUGCG
rnacentral:rRNA from 1 species